rnacentral:lncRNA from 1 species
ACUCCUAGUGGGGAGCCCAGGGUGGUCUGGGAGUGCUGCAUGCACCCAGCUGCUGUAUCACCAGGACAUCAGGAGGUGGAGAUGUUCGCUUGUGUGUUCUCCACUGCCCAAACCCAGGUGGUUAUUCUGCAACAGCUACAACUUGAGUAAGACCAAAACACAACUCAAGUGGACUUUCUAAAAAGAGAAUAAUUUAUUUUGGCUCCCAGACAUCAAAAUUCGCAAGGGAUUGCUUCAGUUUAUAGUCUACUGAGGUGAUUAAACAGCUGGAUUAAGAGUUUCCAUCCCGGAGUCAAACAGACUGAAAUCAAAUCCCCAUUUCACCUCUAACCAGCUGUGUGACCUUGGGCAAGUGACUUCCCUUCUCUGGGCUUCAGUGUACCUGCUUGUAAAAUAAAGGUGGCAUCCCUGAGUCCUGAUGCCUGACUGGAUGGAGGCCCACCAGCUUCUGUUCCCAUGAGGUAGAAAGGCCAAGCUUGGUCUUCAGCUGGGGAAGAGGCCAGAAACAAGGCCCCCAGUGAAAUAACCCAGAUCCAUUGGCCUGAGGAGCAGAGAAAGGGCAAGA